GAUUUCAACUGAAAAAGUCAUCAACAACAAAGUUGUAUAACUCAUCAAGAUUUAUAACUUUUAUUUUGGUCAUUUUUUCAUCCGACAAAGUGAUAGUAACAUUGUUUAUAAAAUUCACAUAUCUCUCAUCUGGUUUUAUAAACUAUAACACAGAUAUAUCAAUUUUGUGAACAAUAUUUCUAACACUUUGCGGGAUGAAGAAAUGACCAAAAUAAAAGUUAUAGAUCUUGAUGAUUGUUGAUGACUUUUUUAGUUGAAAUC
rnacentral:pre_miRNA from 1 species